GUGAGCGAGCGUAGUGUGUGUCCGGAAGAGAGCGGGAGUAGCAGCAGUGAUCAGUCUGUCUCCAGUUAGCUGUAUAACAAAGUCCUGAGGAAACACAGCGACCUCCCAAGGAACAGCCUGCCUGUCUGCCUCAUUUCAGAGUGGGUUAUUGAAGCCGAAGCCUGGUGCUUCAGUCCGGGAAGACUGCAGAGAGUCCUCCCCUGUAUUCCUCCACUACGGUCUGGGAGCAGCAUCUAUCUCCACUGUUGCUGUAACCAUGUUAAUGUCCCUCUGUGGGAUCAAUAAAGGACUUCUGAUUCUGCGGACAGACAGAAGAGAGGGGGGAGGGGCGGGUUGGAAUGCGGCCUUCUUCUUUUCCCGGAUUUGAAGAGUCCUCUUCCUCGCAGCCCACCUUAUCCCAGGAUGCAAUGCGCGCCGGUGACGAGGAAACAAAGAAAAUGUCGGUCCGGUCUCAGAGAGAAAGGCAGCACGUGAGGAGUAACUGAUAAAUGACAAUUCUGGAGAACUGGAUCUGCUGAGGAAGGAGCUGCCAUCCACACAGGACCCCCCGUGGUGCUGGAGGAAUCUAAACAGCAUCAGGGACAUCAUCCUCCCAAACCUCUGCUUCCUGCCGUCCAGCUGAACAGCAGCUCAGGAAGCUUCAGAGAAACAGUGUGUUCAACAGAGACUGAAGCUUCAGAGAGAAACAGUGUGUUCAACAGAGACUGAAGCUUCAGAGAAACAGUGUGUUCAACAGAGACUGAAGCUUCAGAGAAACAGUGUGUUCAACAGAGACUGAAGCUUCAGAGA